rnacentral:misc_RNA from 1 species
CACCGUCUUCCUCCUCCGCCAUUCAACUGCAGCACAUGUUAUAAAUCCGCCAAGAGAAAAGAGAUCCAACACACAAAACCACUUGAACAAUUUACCUUGGUCAAUACUCAUUCAUAUGUAUUUUAUAAUAAUUUCUUUAUCGUUCUUCAAUUUACAUACUAGGUGGCAUUCAGUAUUACAUGUAUUGUCUGUAACAUUGAUAAAAUCGUACUAUAAUAAUUUUUCCCUAGGGAAUUGAAACCCAAAUUAUUAUAUUAACUUACAUACUUAUUUGGUUUCCGAUUUUAUAGCAUAAAUAUUUAAUUUUGGUUUCCAAUUUUAUAGCAUACAUUUUUAAUUGCAUGCACAGAUUUUAGACCAAAUCAGAGCGGGUCGGGUAAAAUUUGCAAAAAAUGCACAUUUAUCAUUUAUGUACUAAGUCUUAUUCAGCAUGAAAAAUAUUGAUAUUGUUUAGUGUCAAGAACAACAUAUCAUAUCCUAAAUUUGAAUAUGAUUAAUUGAUUCACAUUGUUAUUUUCAUUUACUCGUUAUUUAACAUUUUGAAUUUUAUUCUAUGACUGUGGCUGUAUAUUUAUAUUGUUAACUCACUUGUAAAGGUUGUCAUAAUAUAUCUAGUUUUUUUUUACUUGUUUAAAUGUGGUAUCACUUUGCUGGGAAUGUGCAAUUUGCAUAGAUUUAAACCGUGUUCAUCUUGUUGUUAUGGAUGUGAAUGCUAGUCUUUAUUUUUUGAAUAUAUCCAUGAACCUCCCCCGUUUUAUAUGAGUCCAUUUGUAUACGUAGAUUUUGAUUAGCUUAAUUUGAAUAUUGUUUUUAUAUUUCAAUAAACACAUACAUGUAGUUUUUAUCAAAAGUUAGCAUGACAACGUCAGUUCUGUACGUUGAAUGAUUGCACUUUGUUGUUACAUUUUUGUACCCAUCUUUUCAAUGUAUACAGUAUAUAAAACAGGUAUAAACAGGUGCUUGGAGAUAGAAUUAAACCCCAGCCCCUUUCCUAUAAUACAACUCCCUCACUCGUAUAUGCACAUGCAGGUGGGGUUUUUACAUAAGUCGUUUGUUUUCCGUAAAUUUCCUGAAAUAAUAAAUUUUAAUAAAUUAAUAAAUGAAACGAUAAUUUUGAAAUAAGGUACUAGUAUAUUAUGCACUUGCCUUAAAUGGAGUUUCUGUUAAAGGGAGAGUCAGUUACCCCUGGGGUCUAAAUCGGUUGAGGAGACUCCACAAGCACCUGUAUAUGUAUUUUGAAAUGGGAUGUUGAAGUGCCAAUAAAAUGUAAAUACGAU